CCGUGCAGCCGGGGUCUUAGCGGUGCCCUGUACCAUCAAUCCGCUACAGUUGGGGUGAUAUCCUGCCUCGGGCUCAUCGAUUGCUUAGCUGCCCUGUAUAAGUGGCGUUGACGUCUGGGUCUUACGCAACAAGAAUUCAUGAACCGUGUCAGGUCAGGAAUGGAGCAGCACUAAGUGAAACCUCUUGUGUGCCGUAAGGCAGCCUGGGCCGAGUUAACUGUGCAGGUAACGUUCGUGGUCGAGGUUCAAAGCAGGAUGCACGG
rnacentral:SRP_RNA from 1 species